rnacentral:rRNA from 1 species
GGCGUGCUUAACACAUGCAAGUCACGGGGGCCCGCAAGGGCAACCGGCGAACGGGUGCGUAACACGUGAGCAACCUGCCUUUGUGUGGGGGAUAGCCGGGCUAACGCCCGGGUAAUACCGCAUACGGUCGCUGGGGGGAGUCCCUUGGCGAAGAAACCUCCGGGGCACAGAGAGGGGCUCGCGGCCUAUCAGCUAGUUGGCGGGGUAAUGGCCCACCAAGGCGACGACGGGUAGCUGGUCUGAGAGGAUGGCCAGCCACAUUGGGACUGAGAGACGGCCCAGACUCCUACGGGAGGCAGCAGUGGGGAAUCUUGCGCAAUGGCCGAAAGGCUGACGCAGCGACGCCGCGUGUGGGAGGACGCCUUUCGGGGUGUAAACCACUGUUGCCCGGGACGAACAGCCUGUUUCGACAGGCCUGACGGUACCGGGUGAGGAAGCACCGGCUAACUCCGUGCCAGCAGCCGCGGUAAUACAGAGGGGGCAAGCGUUGUUCGGAAUUACUGGGCGUAAAGGGCGCGUAGGCGGCCUUCUAAGUCGAACGUGAAAUCCCUGGGCUCUACCCAGGAACUGCGUCCGAGACUGGGAGGCUUGAAUCCGGGAGAGGGAUGCGGAAUUCCAGGUGUAGCGGUGAAAUGCGUAGAUAUCUGGAGGAACACCGGUGGCGAAGGCGGCAUCCUGGACCGGCAUUGACGCUGAGGCGCGAAAGCCAG